AAAAAAUCAUCAAAACUUCAAAAAAAAAAAUCAUCUUAUCCUGUCAUUAAAUGUGUAUAGAGACAUUAUGAA